GUAAAUCUUGCCACUCCUCCAAUUAUAGGAGACCCCUGCACGUAGAUAAAAUUUGGUCAGCCUCAGCUGAUUGGUCCAUCUCAGCCAAUUGUGGCAACACUUGGUGAUGACAUCAUUUUGCCAUGUCAUCUGAAACCUGCAGAAGAUGCUUCUGGUUUGACGUUGGAGUGGACGAGACCUGACCUGAACCCCAGAUUUGUCCACGUGUGGCGUUCUGGUCAGGAGCUUGUGGGUAAAAAACAUCAAUCCUUCGAGGGAAGAACGUCACUGUUCAUCGAUGAGCUGAAGUUUGGAAACAUCUCGCUGAAACUCUCCAAACUGAAACUCACGGAUGAGGGAACAUACAGAUGUUUUAGUCCAGCACAGGGGCUGCAAUCUUUUGUUCAGCUGAUUGUUGAUCCACAACCAGCUCCUUAGACUUUGUCACGUUGAGCUGCAGAUGGUUCCGCUCACACCAUGUGACAAAGACCCGCCACAGCUCUGUACUCAGCCUCGUCCCCCUUGCUGAUACAUCCAACCAGUCAUCAGAAAACUUCUCAAAAUGGCAGGACUCUGUGUCGUAGUUGGAGUGCAUGAAGUAGAUGGGAAAGAGGAAGAGAGAGAGGAUAGUCCUCUGCGGGGCCCCAGUGUUACUGACCACGCAGUCUGAUACACAGGUGUUGCAGGCGCUC